rnacentral:rRNA from 1 species
CCUACGGGAGGCAGCAGUAGGGAAUAUUGCGCAAUGGGGGAAACCCUGAAGCAGCAACGCCGCGUGGAGGAUGAAGGUCUUCGGAUUGUAAACUCCUUUUGUCAGAGAAGAAAAUGACGGUAUCUAACGAAUAAGCACCGGCUAACUCCGUGCCAGCAGCCGCGGUAAUACGGAGGGUGCAAGCGUUACUCGGAAUCACUGGGCGUAAAGAGCGCGUAGGCGGGAUAGCAAGUCAGCUGUGAAAUCCUAUGGCUUAACCAUAGAACUGCAUUUGAAACUGUGAUUCUAGAGUAUGGGAGAGGUAGGUGGAAUUCUUGGUGUAGGAGUAAAAUCCGUAGAGAUCAAGAGGAAAAC